rnacentral:rRNA from 1 species
ACGCUGCUGGUCCGGGGGCAUGCCCUCCUUGUCCUGGAUCUUUGCCUUGACGUUGUCUAUGGUGUCAGAGGACUCGACCUCCAGGGUGAUGGUCUUGCCGGUCAGUGUCUUGACAAAAAUCUGCAUGCCACCACGGAGCCUGAGCACCAGGUGGAGGGUGGACUCCUUCUGGAUGUUGUAGUCAGCAAGGGUGCGGCCAUCCUCGAGCUGCUUGCCAGCGAAGAUGAGACGCUGCUGGUCCGGAGGGAUGCCCUCCUUGUCCUGGAUCUUAGCCUUGACGUUGUCGAUAGUGUCCAAGGACUCGACCUCAAGGGUGAUGGUCUUGCCCGUGAGGGUC